rnacentral:rRNA from 1 species
AUACGGGGGGUGCAAGCGUUACUCGGAAUCACUGGGCGUAAAGAGCAUGUAGGCUGAUUAGUAAGUUGGAAGUGAAAUCCUAUGGCUCAACCAUAGAACUGCUUCCAAAACUGCUUAUCUAGAGUAUGGGAGAGGUAGAUGGAAUUUCUGGUGUAGGGGUAAAAUCCGUAGAGAUCAGAAGGAAUACCGAUUGCGAAGGCGAUCUACUGGAACAUUACUGACGCUGAGAUGCGAAAGCGUGGGGAGCAAACAGGAUUAGAAACCCCUGUAGUCC